rnacentral:misc_RNA from 1 species
UGUUCGAGCGUCAUUACAACCCUCAAGCUCUGCUUGGUCUUGGGCCCCGCCGCUCACCCGGCGGGCCUUAAAAUCAGUGGCGGUGCAUCUGGCUCUAAGCGUAGUAAUUCUCUCGCUACAGGGUCCGGGUGGUUGCUUGCCAGAAUCCCCCACUUUUAUAGGUUGACCUCGGAUCAGGUAGGGAUACCCGCUGAACUUAA